GCUGACGAGUGGCGGACGGGUGAGUAAUGUCUGGGAAACUGCCUGAUGGAGGGGGAUAACUACUGGAAACGGUGGCUAAUACCGCAUAACGUCGCAAGACCAAAGAGGGGGACCUUCGGGCCUCUUGCCAUCAGAUGUGCCCAGAUGGGAUUAGCUUGUUGGUGAGGUAACGGCUCACCAAGGCGACGAUCCCUAGCUGGUCUGAGAGGAUGACCAGCCACACUGGAACUGAGACACGGUCCAGACUCCUACGGGAGGCAGCAGUGGGGAAUAUUGCACAAUGGGCGCAAGCCUGAUGCAGCCAUGCCGCGUGUAUGAAGAAGGCCUUCGGGUUGUAAAGUACUUUCAGCGGGGAGGAAGGUGUUGUGGUUAAUAACCGCAGCAAUUGACGUUACCCGCAGAAGAAGCACCGGCUAACUCCGUGCCAGCAGCCGCGGUAAUACGGAGGGUGCAAGCGUUAAUCGGAAUUACUGGGCGUAAAGCGCACGCAGGCGGUCUGUCAAGUCGGAUGUGAAAUCCCCGGGCUCAACCUGGGAACUGCAUUCGAAACUGGCAGGCUUGAGUCUUGUAGAGGGGGGUAGAAUUCCAGGUGUAGCGGUGAAAUGCGUAGAGAUCUGGAGGAAUACCGGUGGCGAAGGCGGCCCCCUGGACAAAGACUGACGCUCAGGUGCGAAAGCGUGGGGAGCAAACAGGAUUAGAUACCCUGGUAGUCCACGCCGUAAACGAUGUCUACUUGGAGGUUGUGCCCUUGAGGCGUGGCUUCCGGAGCUAACGCGUUAAGUAGACCGCCUGGGGAGUACGGCCGCAAGGUUAAAACUCAAAUGAAUUGACGGGGGCCCGCACAAGCGGUGGAGCAUGUGGUUUAAUUCGAUGCAACGCGAAGAACCUUACCUGGUCUUGACAUCCACAGAAUUUUGCAGAGAUGCGGAAGUGCCUUCGGGAACUGUGAGACAGGUGCUGCAUGGCUGUCGUCAGCUCGUGUUGUGAAAUGUUGGGUUAAGUCCCGCAACGAGCGCAACCCUUAUCCUUUGUUGCCAGCGGUUAGGCCGGGAACUCAAAGGAGACUGCCAGUGAUAAACUGGAGGAAGGUGGGGAUGACGUCAAGUCAUCAUGGCCCUUACGACCAGGGCUACACACGUGCUACAAUGGCGCAUACAAAGAGAAGCGACCUCGCGAGAGCAAGCGGACCUCAUAAAGUGCGUCGUAGUCCGGAUUGGAGUCUGCAACUCGACUCCAUGAAGUCGGAAUCGCUAGUAAUCGUGGAUCAGAAUGCCACGGUGAAUACGUUCCCGGGCCUUGUACACACCGCCCGUCACACCAUGGGAGUGGGUUGCAAAAGAAGUAGGUAGCUUAACCUUCGGGAGGGCGCUUACCACUUUGUGAUUCAUGACUGGGGUGAAGUCGUAACAAGGUAACCGUAGGGGAACCUGCGGUUGGAUCACCUCCUUACCUUAAAGAAGC
rnacentral:rRNA from 1 species